GCUGAAAAGACGUAAAGGAAGCAGUCACCCCAGUGGUGUUUGUGGAGAGGUAUUCCUUCAGAAAUGGAGAAGACAGAAAGCUGCAGAGGCAGGAUUGUUUGCAGAUAAUGCUGUUCUUCUUUUUCAGAAGUUUUUGGGGAGCCAACCCUCACAAACCUUCCUAAAAACUAAAAGAGCUAUUACUGAGUCUCAGCGACUCUUGCCACGAUCAGCUCUUCCCAGAAGAGAAGGAAGACCAAGGAAAUGAUUUGCUCAGGAUGAGGAAUGAAGAUGGUCAUCUUGUGCUCAAGCAAACAGAAGUCCACUGGUAUGUGUGUGUUAUGUGUUACAGGACUUUAUGAUGAUCUCUCACAGGACUGGUCAUGUCAGCCGUAAUUAUUCUUUCCAAUGUUUUUAUAUUUAUUUUAUUUUAUUUGAUACAGCUAUAAUAAUUAUAGCAUGUUAGCAAAGUUUGACUGGAACAUU